GUUCUGUAGCUUAGUUGGUUAAAGCGCCGGUCUAGUGAAUACGGAGUCGCAGGUUCGAAUCCCACCAGAAGCG
rnacentral:tRNA from 1 species